rnacentral:rRNA from 1 species
AUAAUAAUUAGUCUUUUAAUUGAAGGCUGGUAUGAAGGAUUGAACGAGAUAAAUACUGUCUCAUUAAAAUUAUUAUUUAAUUUAAUUUUUAAGUAAAAAAGCUUAAAUUUUAUUAUAGGACGAGAAGACCCCAUAGAGUUUUAUACUUUUUUUUAAUUUUCUAUAAAAUUUUAUUAAAUUAAAAAAAAAUAUUUUAUUGGGGCGAUAGAAAAAUUUAAUAAACUUUUUUAUUCAUUUAAACAAAGAUUAUUGAAAUUUUGAUCCUAAAUUUUAGAUUAAUAGAUUAAGUUACCUUGGGGAUAACAGCGUUAUUUUUUUUAAAAGUUCAUAUUAAUAGAAAAGAUUGC